UUUCCGUAGGUGAACCUGCGGAAGGAUCAUUAUUGAAACUUCAUCCGGGGCGCCGCGGCCCUCAGCACCGGUGGAAUCGCCGUGUUGCGGGGGCCGCGCGUGCACUCGUCCAAACCAAACCCCUGUGAACCUUACGGGAUGGCCUGGGUUAGCGCCCGGUGCCGUUCCGCUUUAUACAAACACUUAUCAAAGAAUGAACUGAAGGCGGUCUGACCGCUGGAUAACAAAACUGAAACGACUUUCAACAACGGAUCUCUUGGCUCUC
rnacentral:misc_RNA from 1 species